rnacentral:lncRNA from 1 species
GAGCCGGACGCAGGCGUGCCUGCGCAGUGCGCGGAGGAGUGCUGUUCGUGUGUUCGAGUCCCUGGGUUGCUUCCUGGGGUCUGUGGUGCUGGGUGUGCUAUCUGCGUGUGAUUCUCUAGCGAGAGAUUGUGGGCGAGUGACCGAGUGGGCAAGGGGCCGUCACUGUGUGUGCGUGAUUUUGACAGUGUGUGGUGGUAGCUUCUGACUCCGCGUGGGUCGUUGAAUGUAUGACUGGGACCGUUUAGCGGUGGAUACACAACUGUGUGCGGCUGUGGAAGAUUGCCUCAUCCGUUACGUUCCCAUUUCCGUGGAACAACAGUUUUACCAGAAGGUUUCGAAGGAACCUUAAAGUUUGGAAGCGCGGCUUUGGUGUCAUCAAAUGUGAGAAGCCCUGGACUUUACACAUCCCGAGCCAGUGUGAUCCAGUAUGAUUGGGAGUCCGAGUGCCAGAUGCCGGUCAGGACCUGUUAUGCUGGGUCUCAGAAUGCGGAAACUCUCCCUGUCCGAGGUGGAACAGUUUGUCCUUGAGUGAGGACUGGAGUCCUGAGUGACUCUUUUGAUUUGAUCCUGUUUCCCUCAAACCUGAGAUGGGAGCCUCACUGUAUUGCCCAGGCUGGUCUUGAACUCCGGAGCUCAAGUGAUCGUCUUGCUUCAGCCUUGCAAAAUGAUGGUGAAGCUGCAUCAUUGUCUGGGGUAAAUACCUGAGGUUCGUUGUCUCACGCCAAGGGAAUCAAGGACGUGGACACACAAGAAAUGGAGUCCCUGUCUGACCGGGCCAUGUUGUAUGUUCCUUGCUGUACACGUGGUUGACAAAGAAAAGGGAAGAUGGAGCUGCGAUGUUGGACAUGCCUGGCCCCCAGGUAGCUUUUUC